CAAAGAAUAGUUUAGUUUAGAAUCCUAGCUUUGGGAGCUAGGGGUGGGAGUUAAAAUCUCCUUUCUUUGA
rnacentral:tRNA from 2 species